AUGGCUAUGCGUCCUGGUUGGGUGCUCAAAGCAAGGUGGUGAAAGGCGACCGGCAUUGGCGAAUGGGGUCCCUCCCCUCUCCGCAGGCCCCGCCGCCGCCAUCUUUGUUGGGGGCAGCCGGGCCUGGCUCGAGAUGCCGAAGUCGUGCGCGGCCCGGCAGUGCUGCAACCGCUAUAGCAGCCGCAGGAAGCAGCUCACCUUCCACCGGUUUCCGUUCAGCCGCCCGGAGCUGCUGAAGGAAUGGGUGCUGAACAUCGGCCGGGGCAACUUCAAGCCCAAGCAGCACACGGUCAUCUGCUCCGAGCACUUCCGGCCAGAGUGCUUCAGCGCCUUUGGAAACCGCAAGAACCUGAAGCACAAUGCCGUGCCCACGGUGUUCGCCUUUCAGGACCCCACACAGCAGGUGAGGGAGAACACAGACCCUGCCAGUGAGAGAGGAAAUGCCAGCUCUUCUCAGAAAGAAAAGGUCCUCUCUGAGGCGGGGGCCAGAGAGGACAGUCCUGGGAGAAACAUGGACACUGCACUUGAAGAGCUUCAGUUGCCCCCAAAUGCCGAAGGCCCAGUAAAACAGGUAAGACUGAGUGCAAAGGUGGUCUGUGGUUGGACACAAGAUGACUUGCUCCAAGCAAGAUGGGAACCAGUGAGCACUCACCGUGAGACCUGUGUGGCCGAGGCAGGGUGUGCAGCCUGGGUUUCAGAGCUCCCCAAAUUCUCCACCAUGGUGUGGGCACAUCUGGAUUUUGGGACAGCAGCCAGGAGCGUCCAGCUGCCCUGGGGUUGUGCUGGGUGCGUGUCUGGUGGCCUGCUCACCAUGGCCCACCUCCUGCUGGUGAUGCAGCUCUCAUUUCUCACUCCCCUGUCCUCAGGUCUCACCACGGAGGCCGCAAGCAACAGAGGCUGUUGGCCGGCCGACUGGCCUUGCAGGCCUGAGAAGGCCCCCCAACAAGCAGCCAUCUGAUCACAGCUAUGCCCUUUUGGACUUAGAUUCCCUGAAGAAAAAACUCUUCCUCACUCUGAAGGAAAAUGAAAAGCUCCGGAAGCGCUUGCAGGCCCAGAGGCUGGUGAUGCGAAGGAUGUGCAGCCGCCUCCGUGCCUGCAAAGGGCACCGGGGACUCCAGGCCAGACUUGGGCCAGAGCAGCAGAGCUGAGCCCCACAGGCUCCGGACGCAGAGGUGGCAGUGGCAUCAGGGCCGGCAGGGCUUUGGAGUUCUGGCUGUGGACAUUUUUGUCUGCUGUGGACACUGAGAAAGUUGGCCAUGAGGCCUGCUUGGCCGGGGAUCGAGACAGUAGCCAAGCUCCCUGGCGAGAGCCCCGACACCGUCUGGCGGAUGUUUAGAGGCGUGGCACUAGGGUGCACAUCUGUGAGCAUGACAAGCUUAUCCUCCCAUGGUAACAGAAGUCCAGGCUGAGGCUGAUUCUGGACGCUGUCCUUUCAGCACAUGCAGGGCGAAGAUCAUUGGAAGCCGGUGUGGGAGAUGCUCCUCAGGGAGGAAGCUGUGUGAGGGAGCCGGCUCUGUGGCGGGCAAUGUUUAAUGUAGAAAAUGGAACCCUAGCUUCACGUGAAGCCCUGUGGUUGAAGGAGGAGUGAAGGAUGGGGAGGAGGCCUCUGGGGAAGGGGUUCCCUCCCUCCCGAAGAUGAACACACGAUACACGGAAGAGCGCCAGCCUCUGCUUUCAGGAAAGGUUUAUUGUGGUGAGUGCCUUCUGUAUAGUCGACUGCAAAUGAAACGCAGAGGAUGGGUGCCCAGAAGCACCUGUGGCAGAGGUGCACGGGAAGCCCGGGGCCCAGGCUCAUGCAACAUGACGUCACCGCGGCUCGGGCCAUGGGGCCGUCAGAGAAACCUUUUUAAAAAGUGGAGAUGAAUGUUACAGAAUUGGACAACCUGAACUGCUUUUCAAAACCAGAGGAAGGAGGUUCUUAGCCGUUACUCAGAUACCAGUGCUGGGGAGGGAGGCCUGACUUUAGCAACAGCUGUGGGUGGGCUGGAGGCUGGCGCAGCUUGGGGCCCCCAGCGCCAGCUGUCUCAGCCACCACCUGUGCAGCGCUUGCUCUGAGGGGUCAGCAAGAGCAACUGAUGGCUGCCACUUCCAGGACCCAUGAGACAGGCCUCAGGUAACUUUACUGCAGCCAAAGCCCAGGCCGUGGAGGGGGUCCUGGCUCCGCCGCAUUCUGCAUCCCAAGUGGGCACGUGGAGGAAGGGUCUGAAGGAAGGCUCUGGAGCACAGGCCCUGGUGUUCUGUGAGGACGCUGGACCUGCAGUGCCACCUGCUGGGUGCCACGGGCCAGGCCUGGGGUCCACGCCUCCGGGUUGGAUGCGUCUGAUGUCUUGCCAAGCGCCUGGUCCUGUCCUCUUGAGCUGCCCUUGCCCAGCACUGCACUCUGGAGGUGGGUGGUGCAGGCGGUGGAGGGACACAGGCCAGCUCAAGCCUGCUGGUGGCAGGGCGUUUUCCCACAGGGAUAGGGGAAGCCACCUAUGUCAGGGCUAGGCCCUGGGAUCGGAAGUUACACUACCCUGUCCCAAGCCGAGGGGGCCGGUGGAAUGAUUUGAGCAGCUCUGGGAGUGGGGAAAAAAGACUAAUUUCCAAACCCAUUUGUUCUCAGAUAAAAAGCAGUUUUAUAAAUCCGCAAUCUGCUCCAGAUUCAAGCAGUAAUAUUUCAGCAGGAGGAGGCGGUCGUGGGAAGUCAGCGCAGCAGACGCUUCCUGACCUGGAGGCCUGCCUGCUUUUCACGUUGCUUCCCAUGUUCAGCAUGGACUGCAGAAGUGGCUCACGCUCCUGUGGUGAGGGCAGGGUGUUCCACAAACACCUCCAGACCCAACCAAGAACUACAGAGUGGCGGGCUGCGGUCAGCACGCGUGCUCAGGGAACCCGGCGGAGUCAGGGCCAGGGCCCUUCCCUCUAGGAACUGGUCCUUGGGAAAACAGCCAUGGGCCAGGCUGCAGUCUGGUUCCCAGUGGGGCUGCCUCAGUCCUACCCCCAGCACCCUCAAAAGCUGGGGUGUCUGCAUGUCCCUUCACAUAAUUGAUAAUGGUACCACCUCCUAUAAUAAUAAUAUAAAA